UGACCCUUCCGUUUUAUUAAAUUUUGUCAAAUGAAAAUACACAAAAAUUGAUAGUAAAUUCUACAUUUUUAUUCCCCAAAUUAAAUGCGAAAUGACAUGUUUUAGUUCCUUGCACCAACAAGCCUCUCUCUCAAAAUCUUCAUCCCCAUGUACCUUCCAAGCAUCAUGACAGUGGCUUGAGGAUUAGUGCCAGGUGAUUCAAUAAAUGUAGAUCCAUCAAUAACUCUCAAUCCAUCAAUUCCAACAACUUUAUAAUCUCUAUCAACCACUUUCCGAACUUGACAACCUCCAUGGUAAUGCCAUAUGGUGACUACAGUGUCGACACAAAAUUGUUCUAAAGAAACAGAAGCACUCAAAUGUCUUGGUCGCAAAUUGAGUGGAAAAGUUAACAUUGUAUUAAAUAAAGAUUGUGCUGUUGUAAAAGGGUAUUUAAAAUCGAAUAAAGAUGUUGAUUCUAUAACCUCUGCUAUUGUUCUCAUGCCUUGUACACAUCUUUGUAGGUCUCUCGGAUCUUUGAAGUAGUUGAAUGUUACUAGUGGAUUUACAUUUGGAUCUUUGCUACUAAGUUGAAGAAAACCACUUGAGAAUGGUCCUGCAAGUUUUUCUAGGAUUACACCUGCUUGUAUUGGGCUGUUUAGAAUGCCUCGGUUGAGCACAGAUGGAUCCAGACUCUGAUUGGCUAUCCUUGCAAAAUUAUUUGCCAUUGUGCGUAACCAAUCCAACUCCAAAGGCCCACUCGAAGCUUCAAUGUAACUUUCAAACUCAGUAAUACCAACAACUUGAAUGAGGGAAACUUCAACAGGUUUAGGAGAAGGAAUAAUGACAGCAUUCAUUGGGUUAUCAGACAUACCCAUACCAACCAUGGGUUGAUCCAAUAACACAGAGAUACCAUGGGCCUGUAGUUGUUCUGCUGGCCCAAUACCACUCAACAUUAACAUUUGUGGGCUUCCUAAUGCUCCAGCUGACAAGAGCACCUCAUUCAUGGAUCCUUCUUUCAAAUAGGCCAAGUGACUAUUACCUUGUGAAUCUUGAAAACGAACUCCAUUAGCUCUUGGCUUCAUUCCUCCACCUGCUGGUUUGAACAUGAUUUGUUGGACAGUGGCAUUUAAAAGCAGAGUAAUUUUGGUAGGAUUAGCAUACUCCAACAAAUCCGCAGCAGUAUGUCUCUGUCCUUGUGAAUCAAAUAUACUUCCACCAACUUUAGUCCCAUAUAAAUGUUGAUACGUAAAACCAUUAUCCGGUUUCACUCCCACUUCCAACAAACCAUUCUUCACGGCAGAUUGCCACUGCUUUACUUGUGGCUCAAACGCCACUUUCUUUUCCACCCAUUCAUACGAAUCUCUCACUAACUUCUCAUUCCAUCCCACUUUCUUAACGUACUCAUCACUCGCCCUCGUAAAGAACCCCGCAUUAAUAGCUGAACCACCACCUAAGACGCGAGCACGGUGGUUGAAGACACCGUCUGUAGAGAUGAAAAGUUGCGAGGGAGAUGACGGAGAAAUGUUAGCUAAGUUGCUUGAGAAACCGUUAAUGUUUGUGAUGUUUGGGUUUCCAUAGGGUAAGUCACCUCUUUCUAAUAACAGAACAUUGAACGAUUGUGAGAGUGUUGCUGCUAAUGCACAACCAGCAGUUCCUCCUCCUAUUAUGAUGUAAUCGAACGAAAUAACCUUUGGUGAUGACGUAGCAUCUCUCGCAAACGUCGAAUAUGGGGCUUUCUCAGAGAAACAAGGAAUGGAAAGAAUGAGAAUUCCAAAAAAAGAUGAAAAUAGGAAGGGGUUCCAACAUGAGCUAACCAUAUUCUAUUUCUAGAAUUAUAUUUGGACGUGUGAUAUAUAAUUAAGAAAUGUUAUAUAGAUAAAAUAAAAUAAAG
rnacentral:misc_RNA from 1 species